GGAGCGGUGUCCGAGUGGUUGAAGGAGACGGUCUUGAAAACCGCUGUACCGCAAGGUACCGGGGGUUCGAAUCCCCCCUGCUCCG
rnacentral:tRNA from 1 species